rnacentral:rRNA from 1 species
UACGGAGGGUGCAAGCGUUAUCCGGAUUCACUGGGUUUAAAGGGUGCGUAGGCGGAUAGGUAAGUCCGUGGUGAAAUCCUGCAGCUUAACUGCAGAACUGCCAUGGAUACUAUUUGUCUUGAAUAUCGUGGAGGUUAGCGGAAUAUGUCAUGUAGCGGUGAAAUGCUUAGAUAUGACAUAGAACACCCAUUGCGAAGGCAGCUAACUACGCGAUAAUUGACGCUGAUGCACGAAAGCGUGGGGAUCAAACAGG